AGAACAAUGACACCGCCGGGGGCGGGCACCCGGAGGCAGCCCGGGCGGGGGUCUCCCCGGAGGACAGAGACUAGCGGAAGACGUCCUGGACCCGCUAGGGCCAUUGCCUGAUUGACGAGGCCCGCUUGGGAGCGCGGACGUGCGACGCAGACUCAAAGAUCGUCCAGGCCUCCUGGGCAGUGAUCAGCGCCGACCCUGGGCCAGUGCAAGGAGCGGGCCAGAGUACCCUCCCCCCACCCUAUUUAAAAACAUCCUCCAGUGGGCAUCUCUGACCUCGGCUUGAACUCCUUCAGGACCAGCUAGAUCACUCCUUCUACCACCGAGGGAAAGGAGGCAAAAUGCAUUCACCAGCCCUGAAUUCCUUCUCAAGGCUUAGCUACUCUGACAGCCAGGGAACUCAGCUUGGAUUCCUGAGGGCUCAGAGGAUGGAAGCUCAGGUCCACAGGGGCAUGGGAGGGGAUGCCUGGAACUUGCUUGAUUUUCCCAGGGGAAAUUCUGCCUCCGUAUGCCAUGAGGUGCAAGGGAGGGCACUCCUUUCUGGGCCUCAGUCUUUCGACCUGCCACAUGGACUAUUAUCACGCUGCUGUUCCCUGCUCAGGUGGCAGCUGAGCACCCUUGGGGAAGGUGGGUGGCAUGAAAGCCUUCCAGACCUCUCAGGAUACCAGGGAAGCAUGGUCCCAGAACAUUCCUGUGGGAGUACAUUCCUGAUCCCCUCCCCCUCAGCCUCUGGGUGGCCCAGGUUCAGGACAUGGGGGUAGCCUUAGAAACCCCUGGAGGCCUGACCCAGGGCUGGAAGGUGUAAUUCAGCUUGCUGAGUGGUGGCUGGAGCCACAGCUGCUCCCCCUGGGAAAGCUAAAGCAUUGCAGCAGGCAGAAAGCUACCCGCCCCCACCCCAGCUCCAAAACCUAGGGAUAGAGUUUCUGGGUUUUGGGGCCUGGAGGGCAGGAAUCCAGCCUCAGCCAAGAACUAGACCGGUUCAAGAUGGGUCAGGAUGCUGUCCUCCCGACAUUUCUGUCCAGAUUCCUCAGUGAGUGACCUGGGCUCACCACCUCCAGGAAAUGGAGAAUGGAGGCAACCUUGCGGGGUGACCACUCAUGUUCAAAAGCUCCUGUCCAGAAGACCCCCCCCCCCCCCGCCAUCUCCUUUACAUCUGAAAACUAGCACGCUACUGCAGAGAGCAGCCCAGCACACAAAGCAGGCUCAACGCUUUGUAGCAUGGAGCUAAGGGUGAUUUCAGCUCUUCCUGGCUGGGCAGGCAUGACACUUGACGGCAGUAAGUCUGAGAAAUCUCCCCUGGGCCCUUGGUCUGCCUCGGCCUCCUGGGGAUCCUGGGCCCCAGUCUUUGGGACUCAGGCCCUUGCUGUCUCUCUUCAUCUUUCAGGGAGAUAACAAGGCAGGUUGGAUCCUUGUUGGGUCUGGCAAGAAGCUGUGACUUAUUUAGUGCCUACUGUGUGCUGGGUUCUGUGGUGAGGGCCUCUUAGCAUUGGCUUACUGAAUCUCACACUGCCUUGAAGUCGAGGCUAUUCCCAUUCUCCCCUUCAGAGAAAAUUCCCCUGUAACUUGCCCAUGGUCAUUCAGGAUUCAAACUCAGGCUCUUGUUAACAAAGUUUCCUGCUGACCUCUCGGCCCAGCUCUGUAUCCUCAUCCAUAGACUCUCCGUGUGGUCGUGGGCAAGUUGCUAGCCCUCUCUGGGCUUCUGUAAACCAAGGAUAAGGUCUCAUGGCGAUGGUCAGGCCUCUUCGGGGACGAUGUGCCUCCACCUUCCUGGCCCUGGCUUCUGUGGGCCUGGAGAUCUGGGGGUGAAGCAGAGGGGAAAGUGCUUUCUCUUCCCAGCCACUGAGAACUGGAAGACAGAUCCCACUCUGCCAAUGCAGGGCCCAGAAAUUAUGUGGCUUCAGAGGCAGCUUAGUGCCCAUCAGGAGGGUGUGGGCUGCAUGAGGCCAGCCGGUGGGCACCAAUGCAGGGUCCUGCCCACACCCAUCUUCAGAGUAGACUUAGGUUUUGUUAACUGCCUUACCUUCCGGGAACCAUCAGCAGGAAAGAAGGCCAUUGCUUAGGCCUGGGCCUAGGGAGUGGGGAGCCAGAAGGUCCAGGGGGCCAUGAGGAAGGCAGUGGUAAGAGGCUUUAGGUCCUGGGGAGAGCAGAGGACCUGUAUAGGGUACAGUGAGUAUGGCCUCCUGGGCCAGGGGCCCUCGCUGGGCUGGGGGAGUGAAGGAGUGACACACAGGGGGCUAACUUCCUACCUCUUCAGGAAUGCCUUCUCUGUCUCCACAGUUCACCCUUCACUCCCCAAAAGGGAGCCCAGGGACCAAAAGGGCAAGAGAAGUGUCACAUUUGUUGAGUCCUUACUGUUUGCCAGGCAUUUUGGAAAUAUUGCCUCAUCCUAUUCUCUCCACAAGCCAGAAGGCAUAAUUCCCACCGAGGGCAAAGGCUCAGAGAGGUUAAGUGACCUGCUUAAGGUCUCACAGUUAUCCAGUGAAUGGGACUGGACCUCAGGGUUGAGAAUGGGGACUUGCCUCCAUUCAUCACGGGGCAAUGGUGCAGACAAGGUGACCUUCUGAGUACUCUGGGGUGGAGUAAGGACUCCUACUCACCUGCCAGGGAAUGACUGGGUCCCCUCCCAUGGUAGUGGGGUAACGGGGAAUAGAGUUAGUCUUCACACCUUGGUGGAUCCGGGAGGCAUUUUGUCCCUGCCCAGCUGUGAGGCAGCUAUGUUUCUAGAGGCGGGUGGUUGGGUGCAGCAGAGAGUGGAUGUGCCCUUCAGCACAUCGGAUCCCCCUGGGCUGCCUCCUCCCAGUAUUCCAGUCCGAUGGCCCACUCCCCUCCUUACCUGGAGGCAGCAGCUGCCCAGCAUCCUGGCCGUGGCUCUCCCAGGCCCUUCCACCAGGAAUGCUGUCUUCGCAGUUCCCGCCAUGGGGCAGAGGUCCAUGGUUCCAGACCCAGCUCAGCCAGCAACCCCUUCUUCUGAUGGGAGGCCCUGGGGAGUCAACUGAAAGCCUGCUUUGGAAGCUGGGCCACCUUCACUCCCAGCCCACCACUGCCCGACUUGUGUAUCUUGAGCACAUCACAGACUCUGUGCUUCUGUUUCCAUAGCUAUCAAGUAAGGGAGUAUGGGACACAGGGGAUGUCCCAUGGCCCUUCUCCCUCUGACUGAGCCUUUGACCCUUGGACAAAGCUACAGUACACUUUAGGGUUUGAGGGGGGCCCUGCUCGGGAGAGUGCUCUCAGAGGGUCUCCUCCGGCCGGAUAGGGAAAGGAAAACACACACACACACACAGAGGGAACGGUCCAGUCUAGGACUGUAAAUAGGCAUAACGACAUUGACACUUUGCUUCACAAGGUACAUCUUAAUCUUCUGAGCCUCGCAAUGGCCCCUUUUCCGGGGACUAAACCGAGCCCCGGAAAGGAGGUGGUGGCUUGCCCGUGGCCACACAGCUGGGAAGUAUCAGAGCUGGGACAAGAACCAGGUGUCCUGAUCCAGUGCUCUCUUCUCUCCUCUGGUGCUUCCAGAGAGCCAUCUGGGAGCUAGGAGGUCCAGCACCGCCGGGGGUCUGGAAAGAGCGACCAGAGGAGGAUCAAGCUUCCUACCGCCAUCCUGAGGGAUGCUCCUGCACCCUGAGGGAAGGGUCCCUCCUCUCUGGCACUGGAGGGGGUGGGAGAAGAUCUCAGACCUCAACAUCUCCCCUCCUCUCCUGGAUAGCAGUCUUGGAGCCUCAAGGCCCACGCCCCCUUGCCCUGACCCAUGCGUGUAGCCGUGCUGGGUGGCUUCCAGACUCGCCAGCAUUCUAUACGUACUCUUACCUCCUCGCGCUCUUCCUGCUCCUAGGACACACCGCUAUCAACCUUCAAGGCCACAGCUACAGCCACAUGCUCAGAGGCCUGCCCUGAUAACUCUAGCAGACGUGCUGUCUACCUGGCCUCAGCCCCCCUGCCUCCAGCAUCAUCAUUGCCAUCAGUGAUUACUUAGUAAGCUCUUACUGUGUGCCAGGCACUGAGUAUCUCAUGCACACGAACUCCUUCUGUCUUCCCGUGAGCUGAUUUUUAUUAGUGGUAGUAGCUUCUCCAUUCUACACAUUAGGAAACUGAGGCACAGGGAGUUGUAUUUGCCCAGCACGACGCCUCGCUAGGCAGGGAAAUUAUUUUGAUGUGCACCCAUCCCCACCCUACCCCCGUCCAACCCCUGGCUGAAGCUUCAGGCCAUAGCAUGGCUCACUGCUCUAUGCCAUCACCCAGCAUAGUGUCUGAGUGACUGACAGGCGGUCAAGUGCAGUGGGAGAGGCAAGGGGCACAUGAGGAUGAACCAGACCCAGCGCUCCAGGAGUUCACAGGCUAUCAGGAAGGACUGCCCACAUCAAAUACCACGCUGAAAGUCUGGAGGAAGGAGAAGAGUUGGCGUUGAGCAGGGUCUGGAAGGCAGCCUCUGCUGGGGUAAUAGACCAGAGUGGGGCAUGGACCUACCCAAGGUCACACAGCAAGUGUGAGGCAGCAGCAGGGUGGGGCCGCGGGCUCCCAGUUUGAUGUGCCUUCGUGCACCUCAUAGCCAGCCGUGGGGUCCCUGAGUCUGUGCUGUUUUUCAAGGACACACGGUCCCAGACGCCUCCCUGAUGCUGAGCUGUUCAGUGAGUGGCUUCAGUCCUUCUCUCCCCUCUAUUAAAUUUUUUUUUUUUUUUUAAAGAAGAAGAAAGAAAGAAAUCCAGGCAUUGUUCCUGACUGCAGCUGGUGCCGACUAGAAUCCCGCCGAACAGAGUGGAGCCAAGAGCCCGGCCGCCAGGGGCCUGGCUGCUGACACAGGGCCUUUCUAUUUUGCUUUCCCCUGGGGGCCCAGGCUGACGUGUCGUCCCCUCCAUGGGCACCCUCUCCACCUGCCUCCCUGGCCCCAGCUCUGAGUCUCCCGCUGCCCUCACCCUCUUUGCGAAAAUCCGAUGCCUCUUGGGAGGGCUGUGGGGCACUGCCACCCCCUGUUUUCCUUCCUCAUCCAUCCCCAACCCCGAGUGAGCUGGGGCCCCCCUCCUCGCUCCCCUACUCUACCAAGGGGGCGGGGGCGGCUUCGGACGCCUGUCUAGGAGAGUGGCAGAAAUCCUUUCUCUAUGGAAUCAUUUGGAACACUGGUUUGAUUUCAGAAUACGCCGGGAUUUUCCACCCCACCCCCACCUGACUUGGCAAGUGGCAGUCCAAGCUCACUCGUUAAGGCAAUUUGCAGCACUGAGGGUUUGGGGGUUGGGAGGGGGUGGGAUGAGGUGCGGUGGCAAUAAACCGCUCUGCAGACAGAAAAAUGCCUUUUAAAGUUACUGGUUUGCCCGCUGCCUCUGCUCCAGGAGACUUGGUCGUAGGAGGAAGAGGUUCCCCCAACUCUCCCUGGCUGUCUUCACGUCAGCCUCCCCUCCCUGCCCCUUUAGAAACUUGAGUUCCAUUUUGCAACACCCCCCACUCCUGCUCCCCAAAGAGCCGGUCUGAUCCAGAUUACCGAAGCAUCAGCCCAAAGAGAGCAGCAGCCUGGCCGCUCUCCAGGGUCCACUGGGAGCCCUUGGGCUUGGCCUGGCCAUCAAAGCCAGCUUCCUGAGCAUUCCCUUUCCUCCUAUGGGCACAACACUUUAGAGUUUGUAAAGAGCGCUUUAUGUGUUACCUGAGUGCCGCAGCAACCUCAAGAGGCAGGCAGAGACGGCACAAGCCACUUUGCAGAGAAAAAAAACGAGGGUUCAGGAGGCCCAGUGGUUUGGCCAAAGUCCUACAAGAAGGGGCAGAAUCAGUAUGUGAACCCCAGCCUUGCAUGUCGCUAAGCAUGAGUAGUAAUGGUCUCAGAGGACGGCAUAUUCCCAGUUCUCCAAAUGCUGCCACAGGAAGGGAUCUCAGACACACUGGUUCAUUCAACGAACAUUUAUCGAAUACCUACGGCAUGCCAAGCACAAAACUAGGCCCUGGGGAUCCCACAGUGAACAAAACAGAUGUGGUCUAUGCUGUCACAGAGCUUAUAUUCUGUUGGAGGAGAGACCCCAAACAAACUGUGCAGUAAGAUGUCCCCGUCCCCACCAGCCCAGCAUGUAGGCUGUGGAAGGAGCCCCGGCGACGCGCUUCUGGUCCCAGUGUUGCCCCUAGCUCCCUGCGUGAUGUCGGACAAGGCUUCCUACCUAUGAAAUCGACAUGUGGCGCUUCACACAUUUCCUCUGGUUCCUGCCCUACUCCCAGCCUCUGAGUCAAUUGGUUAAUGAUUUCCUAGCAUGAAUAAUUACUCGGAUUAAUUUUUUCUCAAACCUGACUUUCCAUAGGCUCUCGGGGCCAGAGAGGGGCUUCUGAGGUCAUCUAAGCCAGAGCCCCUCGGUGCCAUUCGUCUCAGGAGGUGACAAUCUCUGCUUGCAUCCUUCUGGGGGCGGGGAGCUCGCUCCCGUGCGUGGCAGACAACUGCUCAGUGGUGUGCUGGCUAUUUGUGUACUCGGCUUAUCUCGCUGCCAGACUGAGAGGCAGCGGGCUUGCUGAAAGAGCAUGGACUUUGGAGCCCUCGCGACCCGGCCCUGAAUCCCAACCUGGCCACUUACGGCUGUGAGCCCUGGGGAAUCUCGUGCUACCUAUCGGAGCCUCAGUUUCCUUAUCUGCAAAGUGGGGCCGGUGAUGACUACUUCCAAGGUGGUUUGACCAUUGCAUGAGAUUAGAAAUGCGACUCCCCUUUCCUGUUCCUAUCUGGGACUCCCAUCCUCUGGGGGACAGAGAUUCUGUCCAGUGCCUCUUUGUGUCCUGGUUGUCACAGUGUAAAUAUUAACAACAAUGGUAAACAUAUAGCGAUCA